rnacentral:rRNA from 1 species
CAGUAGCCGCGGGAAUACAGAGGGUGCGAGCGUUAAUCGGAUUUACUGGGCGUAAAGCGUGCGUAGGCGGCUUUUUAAGUCGGAUGUGAAAUCCCUGAGCUUAACUUAGGAAUUGCAUUCGAUACUGGGAAGCUAGAGUAUGGGAGAGGAUGGUAGAAUUCCAGGUGUAGCGGUGAAAUGCGUAGAGAUCUGGAGGAAUACCGAUGGCGAAGGCAGCCAUCCGGCCUAAUACUGACGCUGAGGUACGAAAGCAUGGGGAGCAAACAGGAUUAGAUACCCCCGUAGUCCCUGUCUCUUAUAC